CACGAAGCAAUUUGAGCUAAUUAUGAACAUUUAUUAGAAUAGGUAUGUAGCAUAAUAUUAAAUGAUUCAAAAUUAGGAGUGAUAGGCUUCUCACAUUUUGCGAUAUCUUGAUGUAUCCAACAAGUAUUUAGUACAAUAACAAUUUAUAAGCGCUUAGGUUUAUAAAAAAUAUUAAUAAUUUAAUAUUAUAAUCUGUUUAAUAUAAUAAUUUACGACUUCAAUUUUAAAUUAUUAUUAUAUAUUAUUUGUAAUUUUUAGGAUACUAUAGUAAUUAUAUAACUAUUAAUUAAUGUUAUUAUAAGUAAUACAAAGAUGUUUAUAAUGAACUCGGCAAUACAUCUUUCAACUGUUUACCAAAAACAUAGUUAUCAGAAAUUAUUGAUAAUAUUUUCUGCUCAAUGAGUUAUUAAAUAGCCGCAGUACCCUGACUGUGCAAAGGUAGCAUAAUCAUUUGGCUUAUAAUUGAAGUCUUGUAUGAAUGAAAUAAUGGGGGAUGACUUUAUCAUAAAUAUAACAUUAAAUUAUUUAAAAAGUGCAAAUACUUUUAAUAACAUAAUAGACGAGAAGACCCUAGAAAUUUUUAGAAAUUGUAUGAAAGGUUUUUGUUGGGGCAACAAUGUAACAAGUAACUUAUAUUAUUUACAUGAAAUAAAAUUGAUUGAUUAAAUUACUCUAGGGAUAACAGCGUAAUAUUGAAAUGUUUGCGACCUCGAUGUUGGACUAGGAAACAAAUGCUUAG
rnacentral:rRNA from 1 species